GCCACGGUGGUCUAGCGGUUAGAACGCUGGCUUUGUAAUCCUGGGGUCUCGGGUUCGAUUCCCGGCGGUGCUC
rnacentral:tRNA from 1 species